rnacentral:rRNA from 1 species
AGUGGCGGACUGGUGAGUAACGCGUAAGGAACCUGCCUUUUAGAGGGGAAUAACAAUGAGAAAUCAUUGCUAAUACCGCAUAUGCCAUAGUUAUCACAUGAUAAUAGUGGGAAAGGAGCAAUUCGCUAAAAGAUGGCCUUGCGUCUGAUUAGAUAGUUGGUAAGGUAACGGCUUACCAAGUCGACGAUCAGUAGCCGGACUGAGAGGUUGAACGGCCACAUUGGGACUGAGAUACGGCCCAGACUCCUACGGGAGGCAGCAGUCGGGAAUAUUGCGCAAUGGAGGAAACUCUGACGCAGUGACGCCGCGUAUAGGAAGAAGGUUUUCGGAUUGUAAACUAUUGUCGUUAGGGAAGAGAAAGGACAGUACCUAAGGAGGAAGCUCCGGCUAACUACGUGCCAGCAGCCGCGGUAAUACGUAGGGAGCGAGCGUUAUCCGGAAUUAUUGGGUGUAAAGGGUGCGUAGACGGGAAAGCAAGUUAGUUGUGAAAUCCCUCGGCUUAACUGAGGAACUGCAACUAAAACUACUUUUCUUGAGUGCAGGAGAGGUAAGUGGAAUUCCUAGUGUAGCGGUGAAAUGCGUAGAUAUUAGGAGGAACACCAGUGGCGAAGGCGACUUACUGGACUGUAACUGACGUUGAGGCACGAAAGUGUGGGGAGCAAACAGGAUUAGAUACCCUGGUA